UUUGUUCCAAGACUGUUUCUUCAGAUAGAUAAAUUAGAUUCAUCUUACUACUUUAUUCAAAUUAGGCUAAAGCAUCCACUUGGUGCGUUUGAUUUUUUUAGUUUAGGUUCGAGAGGACUCGACAUCAGCAAAAAUAUGCACACAAAAUUUACAGUCGAAUCUCACGUGUUCAGAUACACAGUGGUAGGUGUUUUGUCCCAGUCUCAAGCCGUCAAUCCAUUUUGAUCAAUAUAUCUAGUAGAAGUAAACAUGCAGAUCAUUGUCUUCGAGGCCGGCUAGCUAUUUUGUGCUUUUUUUUUAUUUUAAAUUUGAAUGUCACUAACUACUUUGAAAUAGAAAUAUUUAGUCUUUGUGUAUAGUUGAAUUCUCCUGUAAAUACUAAUACUUUGUAAUUGAAUUCUAUUGUUUGGUACGAGAUUGAAAUCAUUAGCUGAGCUAA